rnacentral:rRNA from 1 species
AAUACAUGAGCACAUUCUCAACUGUUUUAGAAGAGAAGCAUUUAUUAGAUAAAAAACCAAUAUAUGUUUUUAAAACAUAAAAGUUGGUGAUUUACAAUAACUAAGCAAAUCGCACAGUGGAAACUGGCGAUAAAUCAUUCAAGUUUCUGACCUAUCAGCUUUCGACGGUAAGGUAUUGGCUUACCGUGGCAGUGACGGUUAACGGGGAAUUAGGGUUCAAUUCCGGAGAGGGAGCCUGAGAAACGGCUACCACAUCUAAGGAAGGCAGCAGGCGCGCAAAUUACCCAAUUCUAAUAGCAUAAGAGAGGUAGUGACAAGAAAUAACAAUACAAGGCAGUUAAAAUGCUUUGUAAUUGGAAUGAUAGAAAUUUAAAUACUUUUUAAAGUAUCAAUUGGAGGGCAAGUCUGGUGCCAGCAGCCGCGGUAAUUCCAGCUCCAAUAGCGUAUAUUAAAAUUGUUGCAGUUAAAAAGCUCGUAGUUGAAUUUUUGCUAAAAAUAACCGGUCUGCUUUUAUUAAUAAAGGUGGUAUCUUGGUGUGUUUCUAGCAAUAAUGUCCUUUGGAAUGUUUUUUACUUUACUGUAAGAAGCAAUUUUCAGGAUUUUUACUUUGAGAAAAUUAGAGUGUUUCAAGCAGGCUAACGUUUUGAAUACUGCAGCAUGGAAUAAUAAAAUAGGAUUUUAGUUCUACGUUAUUGGUUUUAAGAGCUAAAUUAAUGAUUGAUAGGAGCAGUUGGGGGCAUUUGUAUUUAACUGUCAGAGGUGAAAUUCUUAGAUUUGUUAAAGACACACUACUGCGAAAGCAUUUGCCAAAGAUGUUUUCAUUAAUCAAGAACGAAAGUUAGGGGAUCGAAGACGA